CAUUAAGUUUUUCUCAUUGAAUUCAAUGACAGCAGGAUCAGGGCCUUAAGGCAGCAGGAAGGAAUGCGUCAGCCAUAGCCUCCCUAGAACAAGGACUUGUCUUGAUUAUAGUAUUAGUUUGGUAAUGGAAGAUGAGCUCACCCCUGUGAAAGAUUAAAUAAAGUAUCACAACUUGGCUGGCCUUAAAACAACUUCCUUCUCAGCUAUGUUUUGAAACCUUGCAGCCUCCAUGGUAUUCUGUAAUUUGAAGAGAAAGUGAUAAAAAUGUUUGCAAAAAUGUGUCCUAUGUCUGAUGACAAGAAGACAAAAGCACAGAUAGAUAGAGGGCAUGACUAGAGAUUGCCCUGGAAAGGGAGAGACUUUCAAGUGAACUGGCUGGAAGCUGAGUCACAGGAAGAGGCGGGUCAAGCAGCAGCUGUCAACAGGAGACACCCAGCAGGGAUAAAGCUGCUACAUCACACACAGCCACAAGGAGAUGACAGCG